rnacentral:rRNA from 1 species
UACGUAGGGGGCAAGCGUUAUCCGGAUUUAUUGGGCGUAAAGAGCUCGUAGGCGGUCUGUCGCGUCGGCUGUGAAAACCCAUGGCUCAACUGUGGGCUUGCGGUCGAUACGGGCAGGCUGGAGUUCGGUAGGGGAGACUGGAAUUCCUGGUGUAGCGGUGAAAUGCGCAGAUAUCAGGAGGAACACCGGUGGCGAAGGCGGGUCUCUGGGCCGAUACUGACGCCGAGGAGCGAAAGCGUGGGGAGCGAACAGG